rnacentral:rRNA from 1 species
GACGAACGCUGGCGGCGUGCUUAACACAUGCAAGUCGAACGGAAAGGCCCUGCUUUUGUGGGGUGCUCGAGUGGCGAACGGGUGAGUAACACGUGAGUAACCUGCCCUUGACUUUGGGAUAACUUCAGGAAACUGGGGCUAAUACCGGAUAGGAGCUCCUGCUGCAUGGUGGGGGUUGGAAAGUUUCGGCGGUUGGGGAUGGACUCGCGGCUUAUCAGCUUGUUGGUGGGGUAGUGGCUUACCAAGGCUUUGACGGGUAGCCGGCCUGAGAGGGUGACCGGCCACAUUGGGACUGAGAUACGGCCCAGACUCCUACGGGAGGCAGCAGUGGGGAAUAUUGCACAAUGGGCGGAAGCCUGAUGCAGCAACGCCGCGUGCGGGAUGACGGCCUUCGGGUUGUAAACCGCUUUCGCCUGUGACGAAGCGUGAGUGACGGUAAUGGGUAAAGAAGCACCGGCUAACUACGUGCCAGCAGCCGCGGUGAUACGUAGGGUGCGAGCGUUGUCCGGAUUUAUUGGGCGUAAAGGGCUCGUAGGUGGUUGAUCGCGUCGGAAGUGUAAUCUUGGGGCUUAACCCUGAGCGUGCUUUCGAUACGGGUUGACUUGAGGAAGGUAGGGGAGAAUGGAAUCCCUGGUGGAGCGGUGGAAUGCGCAGAUAUCAGGAGGAACACCAGUGGCGAAGGCGGUUCUCUGGGCCUUUCCUGACGCUGAGGAGCGAAAGCGUGGGGAGCGAACAGGCUUAGAUACCCUGGUAGUCCACGCUGUAAACGGUGGGUACUAGGUGUGGGGUCCAUUCCACGGGUUCCGUGCCGUAGCUAACGCUUUAAGUACCCCGCCUGGGGAGUACGGCCGCAAGGCUAAAACUCAAAGGAAUUGACGGGGCCCCGCACAAGCGGCGGAGCAUGCGGAUUAAUUCGAUGCAACGCGUAGAACCUUACCUGGGUUUGACAUGGAUCGGGAGUGCUCAGAGAUGGGUGUGCCUCUUUUGGGGUCGGUUCACAGGUGGUGCAUGGCUGUCGUCAGCUCGUGUCGUGAGAUGUUGGGUUAAGUCCCGCAACGAGCGCAACCCUUGUUCACUGUUGCCAGCACGUUAUGGUGGGGACUCAGUGGAGACCGCCGGGGUCAACUCGGAGGAAGGUGGGGAUGACGUCAAGUCAUCAUGCCCCUUAUGUCCAGGGCUUCACGCAUGCUACAAUGGCUGGUACAGAGAGUGGCGAGCCUGUGAGGGUGAGCGAAUCUCGGAAAGCCGGUCUCAGUUCGGAUUGGGGUCUGCGACUCGACCUCAUGAAGUCGGAGUCGCUAGUAAUCGCAGAUCAGCAACGCUGCGGUGAAUACGUUCCCGGG